rnacentral:rRNA from 1 species
AGUGAACGCUGGCGGUAGGCCUAACACAUGCAAGUCGAACGGCAGCACAGUAAGAGCUUGCUCUUACGGGUGGCGAGUGGCGGACGGGUGAGGAAUACAUCGGAAUCUACUUUUUCGUGGGGGAUAACGUAGGGAAACUUACGCUAAUACCGCAUACGACCUACGGGUGAAAGCAGGGGAUCUUCGGACCUUGCGCGAUUGAAUGAGCCGAUGUCGGAUUAGCUAGUUGGCGGGGUAAAGGCCCACCAGGGCGACGAUCCGUAGCUGGUCUGAGAGGAUGAUCAGCCACACUGGAACUGAGACACGGUCCAGACUCCUACGGGAGGCAGCAGUGGGGAAUAUUGGACAAUGGGCGCAAGCCUGAUCCAGCCAUACCGCGUGGGUGAAGAAGGCCUUCGGGUUGUAGAGCCCUUUUGUUGGGAAAGAAAAGCAGCAGGUUAAUACCCCGCUGUUCUGACGGUACCCAAAGAAUAAGCACCGGCUAACUUCGUG